GGUCCCGUGGUGUAGCGGUUAUCACGUCUGCCUGUCACGCAGAAGAUCGCCGGUCCGAAUCCGGUCGGGACCGCCA
rnacentral:tRNA from 1 species